AUCACCUGGGAAUCUUGUUGAAAUGCAGAUUCUGAUUCAGUAGGUCUAGGGUAGAACUCAGGGUUUUGCAUUUCUAAUAAACUCCCAGGUGAUGCCAG
rnacentral:pre_miRNA from 1 species